CCUACGGGAGGCAGCAGUAGGGAAUCUUUCACAAUGGGCGAACGCCUGAUGCAGCAACGCCGCGUGCAGGAAGAAGUCCUUCGGGUUGUAAACUGCUUUUAUCAGCGAGAACUAUGAUGGUAACUUCUGAAUAAGUCUCGGCUACCUACAUGCCAGCAGCCGCGAUCAUACGUAGGGGCCGCGCGUUCUCCGGUGUUACUGGGUGUAAAGAGUGUCGUAGGGGGCAUAAUAGGUACCUGUGGAAAUCGGGGGGUUCAACCAUUCAGACUAUUAGCUAAACUGUGAAGCUGGAGACCAGUAGAGGUAAGUGGAAUGUCUAGUGUAGGGGUGAAAUGCGUAGAUAUUAGAAGGAACACCAGUAGCGAAGGCAGGUUGCUGGAACGGUACUGACGCUGAGGCACGAAAGCGUAGGGAGCAAACAGGAUUAGAUACCCGAGUAGUC
rnacentral:rRNA from 1 species